AUGUAUGACAUCGAGGAUGAUUUCAUGUGCGAUGAGGAGGAGGACUACAACCUGGAAUACUCUGAAGAUAGUAACUCUUAAGCCAAAUGUGGAUUUGUAAAAUCAGUACUAUAAUUCCAAAGCAUUAAAAGAAGAUGACCCAAAAGCAGCAUUAAGCAGUUUCCAAAAGGUUUUGGAACUUGAAGGUGAAAAAGGAGAACAGGGAUUUAAAGCACUGAAACAAAUGAUUAAGAUUAACUUCAAGUUGACAAACUUUCCAGAAAUGAUGAAUAGAUAUAAACAACUAUUGACCUAAAUUCAGAGUGCAGUCACAAGAAAUUAUUCUGAAAAAUCGAUUAAUUCUAUUCUUGAUUAUAUCUCCACUUCUAAACAGAAUUCUGAUUUUUUAUGUCAGAUGAAUUUACUGCAGGAAUUCUAUGAAAUAACACUGGAAACUUUGAAAGAUGCUAAGAAUGAUAGACUGUGGUUUAUGACAAACACAAAGCUUGGAAAAUUAUAUUUAGAACGAGAGGAAUAUGGGAAGCUUCAAAAAAUUUUAUGCCAGUUACCUAAAUCCUGCCAGACUGAUGAUGUCAAGAAGAUGACUUGAAAAAAGGUGCACAGUUAUUAGAAAUAUAUGCUUUGGAAAUUUAGAUGUACAUGGCACAGAAAAGUAACAAAAAACUUAAAGCACUCUAUGAAUAGUCACUUCACAUCAAGUCUGCCAUCCCUCAUCCAUUGAUCAUAGGAGUUAUCAGAGAAUGUGGUGGUAAAAUGCACUUGAGAGAAGGUGAAUUUGAAAAGGCACACGCUGAUUUUUUUUGAAGCCUUUAAGAAUUAUGAUGAAUCAGGAAGUCCAAGAUGAACCACUUGCUUAAAAUAUUUGAUCUUAGCAAAUAUACUAAUGAAAUCGGGAACUAAUGCAUUUCACUCACAGGAGGCCAAGCCGUACAAAAAUGAUCCAGAAAUUUCAGCAAUGACAAAUUUAGUAAGUACCUAUCAGAAUAAUGACAUCAUUGAAUUUGAAAAGAUUCUGAAAACAAAUCACAGCAACAUCAUGGAUGAUCCUUUCAUAACAGAACACAUUGAAGAAGUUUUAUGAGACAUCAGAACACAAGUGCUCAUAAAAUUUAUUAAGCCUUACACAAGAAUACAUAUUCCUUUUAUUUCUAAGGAGUUAAACACAGAUGUAGCGAAUGUGGAGAGCUUGCUGGUGCAGUGCACAUUGGAUAACACUAUUCAUGGCCGAAUUGCUCUAGUCAACCAACUCCUUGCACUGGAUCAUCAGAAGAGGGGUGGUGCACGAUAUACUGCACUAGAUAAAUGGACCAAUCAACUAAAUUCUCUCAACCAGGCUGUAAUCAGUAAACUGGCUUAACAAAGAACAAGCUUUU